UGCCUACAUCUGGUGUGAAAGGAAAGU
rnacentral:piRNA from 1 species